rnacentral:rRNA from 1 species
GAGUUUGAUCAUGGCUCAGAACGAACGCUGGCGGCAGGCUUAACACAUGCAAGUCGAACGCAUGUCUUCGGACAUGAGUGGCAGACGGGUGAGUAACGCGUGGGAACGUACCCUUCGGUUCGGAAUAACCCAGGGAAACUUGGGCUAAUACCGGAUACGUCCGCAAGGAGAAAGAUUUAUCGCCGAAAGGAUCGGCCCGCGUUCGGAUUAGCUAGUUGGUGGGGUAAUGGCCUACCAAGGCGACGAUCCGUAGCUGGUCUGAGAGGAUGAUCAGCCACACUGGGACUGAGACACGGCCCAGACUCCUACGGGAGGCAGCAGUGGGGAAUAUUGGUCAAUGGGCGAAAGCCUGAACCAGCCAUGCCGCGUGAGUGAAGAAGGCCUUAGGGUUGUAAAGCUCUUUCAGCGGGGACGAUAAAUGACGGUACCCGCAGAAGAAGCCCGGCUAACUUCGUGCCAGCAGCCGCAGUAAU